CGAUUUUUCGCUCAAACAUCCAACCCUCUCCCGGCUAUAUAUAUCCAUCAUCCCCAUAACAUUUUCGCCCCCGCCACGGUUCAGAACACGUCACGGGCGGGAGGAGUUUUAAAACACUCGCGGCCCACGUGAAAGCCUGUCAGUAAAACGGGGAAUAGAGGGGAGUACCUAUGCAUAUUGUAUAUAUUAUAUAUUAUAGUAUAAAAUAUGUACACAGGUACAAAGAUUCGGUGGGCGGGACGGCCCCUCGAUUUCCAUUAAAAGUUUUAAUCCCUACGCUCC